rnacentral:ribozyme from 12 species
CGAUAUAUUUGCCAAAGAAACUUGAUUGUUGACAUUGCCAAUUUCAUUAUUUAUUUUUUCUUCUUCAUCUUCCCUUUUUUCCUCCUCCU